CUAAGUUUGAUGGCGACCGGCGCACGGGUGAGUAACACGUAUCCAACCUGCCGAUGACUCGGGGAUAGCCUUUCGAAAGAAAGAUUAAUACCCGAUGGCAUAGUUCUUCCGCAUGGUGGAACUAUUAAAGAAUUUCGGUCAUCGAUGGGGAUGCGUUCCAUUAGGUUGUUGGCGGGGUAACGGCCCACCAAGCCUCCGAUGGAUAGGGGUUCUGAGAGGAAGGUCCCCCACAUUGGAACUGAGACACGGUCCAAACUCCUACGGGAGGCAGCAUG
rnacentral:rRNA from 1 species